rnacentral:rRNA from 1 species
GGAAUAUUGGACAAUGGGCGCAAGCCUGAUCCAGCCAUGCCGCGUGUGUGACGAAGGCCUUCGGGUUGUAAAGCACUUUCAGCGGGGAGGAAGGGUGUUGUGUUAAUAGCACAGCAUUUUGACGUUACCCGCAGAAGAAGCACCGGCUAACUCCGUGCCAGCAGCCCAGGUAAUACGGAGGGUGCAAGCGUUAAUCGGAAUUACUGGGCGUAAAGCGCACGUAGGCGGUAUGUUAAGUUGGAUGUGAAAGCCCCGGGCUCAACCUGGGAAUUGCAUUCAAAACUGGCAUGCUAGAGUAUGUGAGAGGGGGGUAGAAUUCCAAGUGUAGCGGUGAAAUGCGUAGAGAUUUGGAGGAAUACCAGUGGCGAAGGCGGCCACCUGGACUGAUACUGACACUGAGGUGCGAAAGCGUGGGGAGCAAAC